rnacentral:rRNA from 1 species
GCAAGUCGAGCGGAAACGGCAAUAAAGAUUCUUCGGAUGAUUUAUUGGACGUCGAGCGGCGGACGGGUGAGUAAUGCUUAGGAAAUUGCCUUGAUGUGGGGGAUAACCAUUGGAAACGAUGGCUAAUACCGCAUAAUGCCUACGGACCAAAGGGGGGGAUCUUCGGACCUCCCGCUCAUAGAUUAGCCCAAGUGAGAUUAGCUAGUUGGUGAGGUAAGAGCUCACCAAGGCGACGAUCUCUAGCUGGUCUGAGAGGAUGAUC